CUAUUGAAGGACAAAACAUAUGAAAAUCGUAAUACUCCAAAAUCUUGCAUCAGAGCAUGAUAUCUUUACUGUUUUGUAGAUCUACUGGUGAGAAAAGAGUGCUUUUCAUUGAUUCGCCGUGGUGCUGCUUAAAUCAUUCCGAUGCUGCAAUGGCCUAAGGUGAUACUUCCGCUGUUCAUAUCGAUUAAUGUGAACCGGGUCAUUACUAGCACCGCUCAAAAUGGAGACUUUGAACACAGUAUCAUCCCUAUCGAUGAGCUCAAACAAGCAGACAGUCCCUACGCGCAGAUGAGUUUCUCUUGCGAAUGCACGCCAACCGGCGGAGAAGGCCAGAAUAGUAGUACCAGUGGCCUGUCUAUGGCUCCUAAGGAUCUUCACUGGCCACGAUCUGUCCAAAUACCGAAGAGUCGCUAUUUGUUUAUGCUCCUGAAGAUGUUGCUUGGAAAAUCCAACCGGAACACCCUGCAAAAGUACAUUUUUUGGACAGCCAAUACAGGAAAUCUGUUAAAAUGAACAUGAGAUAUGUGGGUGAUGAUUUAAGCUU